CUCUCUCUCUCUCUCUCUCAAGCAUGCACAAAUAUGGUAGCUUUUGCAAUUACUCAAUGAAAGUACUGAAGAAGAUCCAUGCUUAGAUAGUUUUGAACCUUUUUUUAUUCAAAUCUAUGUGCAUAUUGGCGCAAAUGAUGAAUGAUAAGUUACCUGCUAAAAGCUAACCAUGGUGUUUAGAACUUGCAGAUAUUGGGGUAUUUUCUGACUUAAUAUCUAGUAAUGAAUGGCAUGAUAGAACUUUGGUAGAAAAAACUAUUUGAUUUGGUUCUUGAUAAUUUUGAAUAGAAGUUUGGGUGAAGGUUAAGACAUUAAUGGGUUACAUGCAAAACAUAUUUUUCAGGUUGCAAAACCUUGAAGAAAAUCAGCUAACUAUGACUUUAAUUUAACUUCAUUCCUCCAUUUUCUUUGGUGUAUCUGGUUUGUGAAGAACAACAACUUUGUAUGAAGCUCAAACUUUUUGCCUUCUUGAUGAUUCUAGAUGUUAUGCUGAACUAAUUCAAGUAGUGAUGAACAAGUGUUUCAACAUGCUUGAAGUAUGCUAAGUUGAAAAGAAAAAUAUGCAUGAAAUUAAAUACUUUCAUAUAUGCUACAACUUUAAGCAUGUAGUCCAAAGUUUUUAAUUCAGUUUUCCUCCUAUUUGAGCUUGCAAUGUGGUUUACUUAAGUUGUA
rnacentral:misc_RNA from 1 species